rnacentral:rRNA from 1 species
AUAAUAUUAACGGCGUAAAGCACGACUAAACAAUAUGUCUACAACUAGGAAUAGAACUCAAACCGGGCUGUAAAAAGCCAUAGGCCACAAUAACUACACCUACAACCAACAAACCACACUCGUGAAAGCUAGGACACAAACUAAGAUUAGAUACCUUACUAUGCCUAGCCAUAACAAAACAAUCAAACUACUAAUUGUUCGCCAAAUAACUACGAGUGAAAACUUAAAAUUUAAAAGACUUGACGGUACCUCACAACAACCUAGAGGAGCCUGUCUUAUAACCGAUACCCCACGAUUAAUCUCACCCCCCCUAGCCCCAUCAGUCUAUAUACCGCCGUCGCCAGCCUACCUUAUGAAAGAAACAAAGUAAGCCAAACAGUCACUAUACUAACACGACAGGUCGAGGUGUAACUUAUGCGGGGGUCAAGAUGGGCUACAUUUUCUACAACAGAAAACACGGACAAACUAUGAAACAAGAAACUGAAGGCGGAUUUAGCAGUACGCCAAGAACAUAAUACCUGGUCGAAACCCAAGCAAUGAGGUGCGCACACACCGCCCGUCAUCCCUGUAACCACCAAACUAAGCUUCAUAAA